CAGUUACUGUUGUGUUUAUCUCAAAGUCUAAUACUAGCAUAUGAUGUAUCGGUGUAACAUUAAGUCCACGAGGAACUGAGGAUUGAGGAAAUUGAUGAUCAUUCAGUCAUCGAGGACUUGGAAAGAGGCAUCGGGGCAACAAAUGGGACAGUAUUUUGAUCUCAUUUCACACAUUCAAUAAUUGUUUUGUCUUUAUUAGUUACAUGGCAUUUUAUUAAUUAUUUAUAUAUGCUUGCCUCAUCGCCAUAUGGCUGUUUCUAGAAAUUGUUGUAUUGUAUCCCUUAUUCCCUUGUCCCUGUAUUACUAUUGCUGUUUCAUGUCUCUGUUGUUCCCACCGGUGUGGCCUCAUAGUUUUCUGAGCAAGAAACACAAUCUGGAUAAGAAAAAGUCAAGUUCAUCUGCUGGAAUUGAAGUUGACAAAAGUAGCUAGAAGUGAUUCUUUUUUCAGGGAGGAAAAAUGGCAAGCGCAAGUGGCAAGGGAUCUCUCAUUUUCUUCCAGCACUAACCUAUCUAUGCACGAAACCUCUCACGCACCUGUAACUACAUUGAUAAAGGGGAUGAUGAAGGGACUUUUGUCCAUAGAAGAGUUGUUGCAAAGGGAACAUGCAAAAGAGGACGAGGAACCAAGAAGUCGACAGUUCAUGUCAACUGGAUAUUUUCUGGAUUUUUUCUAAUGGUGACUGAAUUGUUGGUGAUGCAUUUUAGCCAUCAUUUUGUAAACUUAUGGUUUCUUGGACAGUGAACCAUAAUGUUUGUUCUAUUUAAUUAGUUACCUUAAUUUAUGUGAAACUUGGAUGGUAAUUAUGCCCAUAGCGGAUGAACUAUUUAUAUGG